UACAGAGGUCUCAAGCGUUGUUCGGAUUCAUUGGGCGUAAAGGGUGCGUAGGUGGCGCCGUAAGUCAGGUGUGAAGUCUCGGGGCUCAACCCCGAAACUGCACUUGAUACUGCGGUGCUCGAGUACUGGAGAGGAGAUUGGAAUUUACGGUGUAGCAGUGAAAUGCGUAGAUAUCGUAAGGAAGACCAGUGGCGAAGGCGAAUCUCUGGACAGUUACUGACACUGAGGCACGAAGGCCAGGGGAGCAAACGGG
rnacentral:rRNA from 1 species